CCUGUAUAGUCUAUGCACCUUACGGGACUGUUUUCGUCGUUUGUUUUGUUUAAGUGUCUUCUCUUUAAUAAAAUAAGAAGAUUAUCAAUAUACCCGCUGCAUUUUGGUCCACUCCUUACGACGCCCGUGACAGAACCACCCACCAACGAAGGACCAAGCAGCGGAGGAAGGAGCAGCAGGAGAGCUACUUGGAGUCAUGGACAUGGGAGGAGAUCCUGGAUGGUAAAGGACCAUGGCACCAGGCUGGGGAGUACAAGCACCCGAAGGAGGAGCUGGAGGAAGCUAAAAGGGAACGACAGAGCUCUUGGAUCAGUUGGAGCCUGGUGGGAUACUGGAGUUGCCUGUUGGUCUGAAAGCCUUCAUGGGGCUGAUCUAUGUUCCCUUGACUGACAAGCAGCACCAUUGGCCAGUUAUGUAUACACUACAUAAAGGGGUGAGCUCUGACUGCUGUGUGGUGUGAUUGCCCUUGCAGGAGGUGGUGCUGGUGCUGCAGCUAUUGAGUUUUUUAGAUCUCUGUCUGUCUGCUGCCUAGCAACACUUCCCAUUUGCUUAUUGACUAAAACUGGGCAGCAGAUGAACAUUAUCCCAGAGGGUUGAAGAGAGUUGCCAAGGGCUUUUGGAUUAAUGACUCUGUCUGUGAUUGCUAAAAUCGUUAAUUUAAGUACUCCCGUUUUGUACAUGCAUUCAAACCACUGUUUGUUCCUCACAGAUGUCUAGCUGAAAGGUCGG
rnacentral:lncRNA from 1 species